rnacentral:rRNA from 1 species
GACGAACGCUUGCGGCGUGCCUAAGAAAUGCAAGUCGAGCGAGGUUUAGGCUUCGGCCGAAGACCUAGCGGCGAACGGUCGCGUAACACGUAAGCAACCUGCCCUAAAAUGGGGGAUAGCCCGCCGAAAGGCGGAUUAAUACCGCAUGUGGAUAUAUUAUCUCCUGAUAGUAUAUCUAAAGCAGCGAUGCGUUUUAGGAUGGGCUUGCGGCCUAUCAGCUAGUUGGUGGGGUAACGGCCUACCAAGGCGACGACGGGUAGCUGGUCUGAGAGGAUGGUCAGCCGGACUGGGACUGAGACACGGCCCAGACUCCUACGGGGGGCAGCAAUUAGGAAUCUUGCGCAAUGGGCGAAAGCCUGACGCAGCGACGCCGCGUGACUGAUGAAGUCCUUCGGGAUGUAAAAGUCUUUUGCAGGGGAAGAAGGAUGUGACGGUACCCUGCGAAUAAGCCCCGGCUAACUACGUG